AGAGCGGUAGCCCGGAGAUGGGCACUGAGACAAGGGCCCAGGCCCUACGGGGCGCAGCAGUCGCGAAAACUCCGCAAUAAGCGAAAGCUUGACGGGGCUAUCCCGAGUGCCGUCUGCUGAAGAUGGCUUUUACCCAGUGUAGAUAGCUGGGAGAAUAAGGAGAGGGCAAGUCUGGUGUCAGCCGCCGCGGUAAUACCAGCUCUCCGAGUUGUGGGGAUAAUUAUUUGGCCUAAAGCAUCCGUAGCCGGCUGAGCAAGUCCUCCGUUAAAUCCAGCGACUAAUCGUUGGCCUGCGGGGGAUACUGUUUGGCUAGGGGGCGGGAGAGGCCGCCGGUAUUUUCGGGGUAGGGGUGAAAUCCUAUAAUCCCGGGAAGACCACCAGUGGCGAAGGCUGUCGGCU
rnacentral:rRNA from 1 species